AGAGUUUGAUCAUGGCUCAGAGCGAACGCUGGCGGCGUGCUUAACACAUGCAAGUCGAGUGCGUGUUCGUAGCAAUACGAAUGACGCACGGCGCACGGGUGCGUAACACGUGGGCAAUCUGCCCUCGGAUGGGGGAUAACCCCGCGAAAGCGGGGCUAAUACCGCAUGACAUUCCGGAGACUCCGGUCUCUGGACUCAAA
rnacentral:rRNA from 1 species